rnacentral:rRNA from 1 species
CCCAAGAGAUCGGGAUAACACCUGGAAACAGAUGCUAAUACCGGAUAACAACAGAUGAUGCCUAUCAACUGUUUAAAAGAUGGUUCUGCUAUCACUCUUGGAUGGACCUGCAGUGCAUUAGCUAGUUGGUAGGGUAACGGCCUACCAAGGCGAUGAUGCAUAGCCGAGUUGAGAGACUGAUCGGCCGCAUUGGGACUGAGACACGGCCCAAACUCCUACGGGAGGCAGCAGCU